ACGGCAGCUGGGCGGGGACACAGCGGCCUUGGGUUUGGGCUCCAGCCCCAGCCGGGCCCCCUCGCGCCGCUGCGGCUGCUGCGCGGUGAGGUCGUGACAAGUCACAGCUAACUUGCCCUCCGCGCCAUUCCACGCCACCAGGAAGCGCAGCCGGUGCCUCUCGGCAUCGGCGAAGAGGCCUUGCCGGACCGGCGCCCAGCCCUCCAGGCUGUCGAGCUGCUCGUCCUCCAUGGCCGUCGGCGGCAGCGGCCCUAGGACUCGGCGGGCGCGGGCCUGACCUCGCCGCACUGCCUGUCAGGGGACAGUCCCAGGCAUAACUGAAGGUGAAAGGACAGAAUCACCAUGUGUUACUGGCACAGAUGCAUCGGCUAGUGAAGAAAGAAGACAUUCAAACUAGUCCCGCUCUGUCGCCCAGUCUGGAGUGCAGCAGCGCCAUCAUAGCUCACUGCCACCUAGAAGCCGGGGUGAAGCAAUCCUCCUCCAUCAGCCUUCAGAGUAGCUGGGACUACCUGCGCGGCCCACCACACCCGGCUAAUCUUUGUGGUUUUUGUUUUGUUUUCCGUUCUGGGUUUCCGUCGGGCGCAGUGGCUCAGGCCUGCAAUCCCAGCACUUUGGAAGGCAGAGGUGGGCGGAUCACCCGAGGUCGGAGACCAGCCUGACCAACAUGAAGAAAUCCCGUCUCUACUAAAAAAAAGAAAAAAACUACAAAAUUAGCCGGAUAUGGUGGCUCAUGCCUGUAAUCCCAGCUACUAGGGAGGCCCAGGCAGGAGAAUCACCUAAAUCCGGGAGGCCGAGGUUGCGGUGGGCAAAGAUCACACCAUUGCACUCCAGCCUGGACAACAAGGGUGAAACUCCAUCUCAAAACAGAGACCGGGUUUCACCAUGUUGCCCAGGCGGUCUGGAACUCCUAGGCUCAAGCGAUCUGCCACACUCGGCCUUCCAAAGUCCUGGGAUCACAAGGGGGAGGCACCACGCCAGGCCGAUCUAUUCCUUUCUGGUUACUAAAUUGGACCGGGGGCGCGGUGGCUCACGCCUGCAAUCCCAGCACCCAGGGAGGCGGAGGCGGGCGUAUCACUCGAGGUCAGGAGCUCGAGAUCAGCCCGACCAACACGGAGAAACCCCGUCUGUACCAAAAAAAUAAAACCAAAAUUAGCUGGCAUGGUGGCUCAUGCCUGCAAUCCCAGACACUCAGGAGGCUGAGGCAGGAGAACCACCUAAACCCGGGAGGUGGAGGCCGCGGUGAGUCGAGACCACGCCACUGCACUCCAGCCUGCAAAACGAGCGAAACUCCACUCAAAAAAAAAAAAAAAAAGACAGUGUUUCACCACGUUGCCCAGGCCGGUCUGGAAGUCCUAGGCUCAAUCGAUCGCCGCGCUCGGCCGUCCACAGUACUGGGAUCACAAGCAUGAGCUACCACGCCAGGCCGAUCUAUUCCUUUCUGGUUACUAAAUUGGACCGGGGGCGCGGUGGCUCACGCCUGCAAUCCCAGCACCCAGGGAGGCGGAGGCGGGCGGAUCACCCGAGGUCAGGAGCUUGAGAUCAGCCCGGCCAACACGGAGAAACCCCGUCUGUACAAAAAAAAAACCACCAAAAUUAGCUGGCAUGGUGGCUCAUGCCUGCAAUCCCAGCCACUCAGGAGGCUUAGGCAGGAGAACCACCUAACCGGGAGGUGGAGGCCGCGGUGAGUCGAGACCGGAAAACACUCUAGCCUGGAAAACAAGAGCGAAACUCCGCUCAAAAAAAAAAAAAAAAAAAAAAAAAAGACCGUGUUUCACCAUGUCGUCCAGGCUGGUCUGGAACUCCUAGAACCUGUAGAUGUUACCUCAUUUGGAAAAAGCAUAUUUUCAGGUAUGAUUAAGUUAAGGAUCUUGAGGAGAGAUUAUCCUGGAUUGUCUCCGUGGGCAUUAAAUCCUGGCACAUAUAUCCUUAUAAGAGGGAGAUAAAGGAGAUUUAACUUCAGACAGAAGAGAAGGAGGCCCUGUGACCAAGAAGGCAGAGCCUGGAGUGGUGGAGCUGCAAGCCAAUGAAUGCCAGCAGCCAUCAGAAGCUGCGCAAGUCAAAGGAUGGAUUUUCCCCUCAGCCUCUGAGAGCACUGGCUCUGCUGAGACCUAGAUUUCAGCCCAGUGAUACUGAUUUUGGACUUCUGAUAUCCAAAACUGUGAGAAAAUAAAUUUCUGUUGUUUUAAGUCACCACAUUUUUGGUAAUUUGCUCUAACAGCCACAGGAAAGUAACAUACAUGCCUACCUGGGUCCAGUUGUGUCCUGUGACUCCUGCUUUCCUGGGACAGGCAGGCUGCUCCGUGCCUCCUGGCCAUCCUACUGGGUGCUGGACGCUGUAGGCUGCUCCAUGCCUGUUGGCCAUUCCCUUUGGUGCUGGACAGCACUCACAUUGUGAAAUCCACUGGCCCUGUGAAAAACACCUGGAAAUGUUACCAGGAGAGGGGUUAGUUCUCUUUUUGGCAACCCAUGUUAUUGCUUAUGGCUUAAUAUCUGUGCCUCCAAGAUCCCUUCUCUCUGCCUUCAUCGAUGCCAGGAAAGCAGUCACCUUUUGCCUUUCUUUGCUUCUCAGCAAGUGGCAUGUCUCCAUGUCACUUUAAGCAUCAAGCACACGGAGCCCAAUAAGAUGCUGAAAAGUGUCUGCCUACAAGGUUACAAGGCGGUGGAGACAUUCUGAGCCGGUAACUGCAGGGCUCAGUAAAACCGCUACAGGAAAUCUCAAGUUCAAAAUGCUGAAGUGAAAAAUGGGUGAUCACAACGAAGGGAAACACAAACCCCUUCUUUUAAAAACAUUAUGGUGAUAAGGCACAACAUAAAAUUUACCAUAUUAGCCACUUGUAAGUAUACAGUGCAGUAGUGUUAAAAAUAUACGUUGAGUAACGAGUUUCUAGAACUUGCUUCUCUUGGAGAACUGAAACUAUAGCCACUAUACAACAACUCCCCAUUUCUCUAUCCCCUGGCUUAUGGAAACAACCGCUCUAUUUUCUGUUUCUAUGAGUUUGACUAAUUUCGAACCUAAUGUAAGAGAAAUUGUACAGCAUUUGUCUUUGUGUGAUGGGCUGAUUUCAAUUAGUGUAAUGUUUUCAAGGUUCAUCUAUAUUGCAGCAUGUGACAGGGCUUCUUUCUUUUUUAAGGCUGAUAAUUUUAUAGUAUUCCGUUGCAUGGAUAGACCACAUUUAUUUAUUCAUUUAUUUAUUUAUUUAUUUACUUAUUUAUUUAUUGAGACAAUCUCACUCUGUUGCCCAGGCUGGAGUGCGGUGGCAUGAUCAUGGCUCACUGCAGUCUGAAUCUCACAUUCUCAAGCGAUCCUGCCGCCUCAGCCUCCUGAGUAGCUGGGACUACAGGCACAUGACACCAUGCCUGGAUAUUCGUCUUUCUGUGUAACUGGUUGAGAAACAGGGGAGUAACAGUGAAGAAACGGUCUUAGAAUAAAUCUGGUGACAGCAGAAGAGAAUAUGAGACAGAUUGUGCUCACAGAGCCUUGAAGAGUGUGACAGUAUUUGAGGGCCACGCUGUUGUCUUAGAGUGAAGUGAGGAGAACCUGCACUGGUUUGGUAGUCAUGGGAAUGGAAGGAGGAAAGAAAUGUGAAAGCUCAUCGGUGGCAGAGUCAAAAUGGCUUGGUCUUUGUAGUCAACGAUUAAGUGAGAAGGAGGAAUUACUGGCUGACUUAGAAGAAGUAAAAAACGUGAAAUACCGAUAAAACACAAAUCUCGUGAUUUUAGUCAGCGUAAAGACUAAGCAUUGUGUGAUUCUAGAUAUAUUAUUAAGCAGUUUUGUUCCAGUAUUUUAUAUCCCAUAUCUUCUAGCUAUGACCCUAUUUCUUUGUUUCUUGACAUAGACAAACAUUUUUUAAACUAAGAGCUUUAUUGUGAUACAGUUUUUGUAUGAUAAGCCUCACCCUUCAAGUGUACAGUUCAGUGGUUUUUAGUAUAUUCAGAGUUAUGCAGCCAUUACCACUCCCUAAUUUCAGAACAUUUUCAUCUCCCCAAAAAGAACCCCGUACCCACUAGCAGUCACUCCCUGUAGCUCUCUCCCCCACCAUUGAUCCUGGCAACCUCUGAUCUAACUUCUAUCUCUGUAGAUUUGCCUAUCCUGGGCAUUUCAUAUAAAUAGAAUCAUACAACAGUGGCAUUUUGUGACUGAUUUUUCUUUACAGUGAUUAUAAAUCAAAUGCCUGAAGACACUAAGCUUAGGAUAGUGUUUGCUGUACAACUUUGAUAACUGAACUUUUGUAAAGCUGAAAAUGUGACUGUGUCUGUAUAUGUGGCAUAUUAUCCUUAGAUGAUCCUUACUUCGAUUAUUAAGAAUUUUUUCCCCUAGUAAUCUUCAACUGUCUCAAUAUUCAGCAGGAACCCCUUGGAGACAAAGAUCAGUACGAAUUUGGAACACCUAUUGACAAAAUGAAUGUAAUUUAAUUUAGUACAGUAGUAAAGUCAACCACUUUUAGGUGUUGAUGCUGCUGAAAGUGUAUAUUAAGGAAAAGCUUACUUACCUUACUUUUUGUGGAGGUGCUAGAACUACUUCUGUCUUGUGUUUAGAUUUCAAGAAACCUUUGCAUGGGCAUUAUGUGGUUGCACAAAUGUACUUCGUUUUGACCUGAAAAUGCAAAAACUUCCUUUCUUCCCACUUUCUGAGACUCUGCAACCUUAAAGGAAGAGUGGGGUUCUUUAAAGGAAAGGUGGUGGUGGUUGGGUCAUGGGUAACAAUGUCUACUGUGUACUUCCUUUCCCAAAACAAGUCCCUGUCUACCGUCAGCAUUUCCAAAAUUUGAAGGUCAAGUGUGGUGUUAACUCAUGAACUAAUGACUAGACUUUGAGCGGUUGUGGAAGCAAAAUCUCAGUGAGUGCCUGGAUGUUCUAAUUCUGUUAAGUCAGUGAGUGCAUAUUCUGUACAAUACUCUCUUAGCCCAGUGGCAGGUUUAAGGAGUGGGAGAGAGAUUUCUAUGUUUCGGAAAUCAGAUACACAAAGAAUAAAAAUUUUUAAUCCCAUGAAUCUUUGCCCGAGUUUAAUUUCUUGGAGAGUUUUUCUUUUAGAUUUUCUUUCCCUUCCAUUAAACUUUUACUUAGAAAGGUCCCAGGGUUUGGGCAAAGCAAGUGGGAAAGACACUUGCUUGGGUUCUCCAGGAUAAGGGAUUGAAGAGGACUUCUUUCCCUCAUUUUAUUAUUGAAUAAUGUCACAAUAACAAUUAUUAAGGUGAAUAGUCUACAGUGGAAGUGUUUAGAUGCCUUGUCUGCAAAAUAAUUUGGUUUAGUCAACCCAAGGAUGCCUUUGGUUAGCUGGAAUGGGAGAUGUGCAGGUUAGAGUGGUCUUGGCAAGUCUUCCAGGGGGAAAUACAGCAUUUGGAAGGGUAGGAAGCAGAAGGAAUCUCAGGCAAGGGAAAGGCGUGGGCAGAGCCCCGGAGGACAGAACAGGUUGUGGUGGACUUGGUGUCCACAUAGACCUAAUUAGUGGUCUUAGCUUUUGUGUUUUCAAAAUUACCACAGUUUGUGUUCUAAAACUGUCAUUCUCUUGAUUUUAUUUUAGAUAUACUAUCUGUGUAUUUUGAAAUUUAAAAUAACAGUAAAGGAGAAACGAAUUUAUUUUGUUUGAGAAAGAGUUAAAAGGUUAAAACAUCUUGAUCUUAAUAAUUUUCUAAUGGGAGAUUUGGUACACCCCCAGAAGUUGUCUUUGGUUCAGAGAAUAGUCUUCAGAUCUAGAAAGGACUUGAGAAGUCCCAGAGAGGUGCUGCAUGGUCUGAACCAUUUGAUUCUCACGACAGAAUGGAUAAAAACAAUUUGAACCAGGAAACCAUGCAGAUGUUCAUAUUUUGGAUAGGGUAAGGUCAGUGCCGUCGUCAGAGGAAAAACUCUCGGCCAUCACAGGAUGGGAGAGAAAGUUUGAGUUGUGAAGAAUACUCAAAUGCCGUUUAAGGAAAUGGGUUCUUCUGCACCUAUUCUUUGGAAUAUUUAGGGCUAAGUUCUUAGUUUUUGACAUCAUAAAAAUGUCAAAGUAUUCUGUUCUAAGAGCCAUUUCAAACAACUGACUAGAAUUUCAGAGCAAUUACAUGAGAGUAAUACCAUUAAAAUGUUUAAAUUACCCAUAGUCCUAUAUCCCUAACAAGUAUGUUCACGCUUGCAUGUUCUCUUCUCAUCUUUACUGUGUGCAUACUUUCUUAGUAAUGGCACGUAGACAUUGUUUAAGCAGGAAUAAUUCUCGAGAUAAUUUUGUAUGUUUCCUUUUUUCUUUUUAAGGUAGGUAUUGGGUGGAGGAGCAUUAUAUUUGCAACUUCUCGCAAAACACGUGAUUAUUUUCUUAUAAUAUUCAAUUUUCACCCUCAAUAGAGUGUUUUGAUUAUGUAAGUUAGACAGAAAGUAGAAGGUUCUCUUAGAGAAAUUUUAGUGUUUUUUUUUCAUAGCUCCUACUUUCAAGAAUGAAAAAGGUAAACCAGUAAAAUGACACUGUACUUGGUGCUGCAUCUAUGCUGGGAUAGGCAUUAAGAGUGACCUUUAUUUAAGGUUCUAAUUUGCUCAUGUUGGGCACUUAGAACGUCAGUUUGUUGCUUUUUGUGAGAUUUUGGAAAUGGUCCAAUUUUACUUUUUCCCCUUGACUCCAGACUUUUUAACACUGAUCUGCUGCUGUUGAGGCAUAUGCCGUUUUGUUAGGCCUCCUCAAGUGGGAGUCAGGAAUGCUGCUGUGUUCCAGAGAGGUUUUGUUCUUCCUGUAGGGCUGAAGCAGUGCCUACUCAAUAAAACCAGUCAUCGUGCAAAGAAAUGCCACCUGACCCAAAGGCAAAGCCAGAGUGCAGCUUGGAGCAAAGAAGUCAGGUUUUCCUUGUUCCUGCGUGUUCAGCCAUUUGUUUUUAAGUUUGUGUUGAAGGAGAAACUAACAAUGAAAAUGGACUUGUUGACGGAAGAAAAGUAGGAAUGCAGCCUCUGGUGCUGUUUGAGUGAUCCCUCUGCCCCAGGCCUGGCUGCGCGCUGCUGUGUUCUGGAAAGGCGCAUUGUGCCCUCGCUGUGGCAGGUAAGAGUCCUGUACAGGUGCUCUGCCCACUUUACCUUUCAGGCUUCUGUAUCAGCUGUUUUUCCCUUGUAGAAUGUGCCCCUGACCUGUGCCCCUGACUUCCACCCCUUAACCCUGCCCAAUACAUCUUUACAUGUCUGACCAUCAAGACUCUUCUGGGUCAUAUUCAGUUCAUGCUGAUAUUUUCCCUUCCUCCCCUCUUUAGUCCUUACUAUUUUUGCUUUGGUCAUGUUAUGCUAUAUUCUGUAAGCCUUUAAAAAUUUUGUUGUAUCAUGGCAGGGGAGAAUAUUUUAUAAUUAUGCUUUGUGCGUUUUAUCUUCCACUCAAUGAAUGCUUGGUAAAUAUUUGUUUUAUUGAGUAUAUGACCCUUUUCUAGCUAUACCGUGAACAAAAAUGUUAACUGCCUUGUACGUUAACUGCUAAGAAUUUGUCAAAAGUGCAGAGAUGACAUCCAGAACUUGUCAGAAUAUUACAAAAAGGUCUCUAAGGGCAUGAUGGAGGUCUGUAAAUUGACUUCAUGUGAAAGAGUGUAAGAAGUGAAAAUGUGAAGCAUGACUGGAGAGCCGGAGUGAUAAAGCAAGGGUCCCUUUCUCCAGAUCCUUUGUAACAGUGUCAUGUGACCUCUUCUAGAUCAUUCUGAAAGACAAUGCCAGCUCGGAACCUAGGAAAGCAUCCAGUGGGUUUCUGCAUGUUAGGUGGUUCAAAUCCUCAUUAGCACCUUUGUUUUCUCUGCCUCAGUUUGCUUACAGUGAUGUUCUCAGUAGCUGUAAUUGCUGUCUGUCUUUGAAUAUUUAAGCAUUUUUUUUUUUAGAUCACAGGGUAUAUGUGCAUUUUUAUUUUACCAAGUGUUAGAAUUUUUACUCUGCCUUUGUGGGCUCUGGGUUAGCUACUUGGCUGUUUCAUCGUAAAAUGAUUAGCAGGAAAAACUGUGUGUGUGUGUGUGUGUGUGUGUGUGUGUGCGCGUGUGUAUUUUAAGUUUCUUAAUUGGGUUGGUACAUGUAAACCAUUUAGAACAGUGCCUGCUGCAUAUCACAUCCCCAUCAGUAUUCACGUCUCUCAUAUUCUACCCUCACACUUGAUUGAUAGUUUGCUUGAUUACGUAUUUCUAGGUUGAGGAUAAUUUUACC